GCGAAAUGGAGUUACUCCCAGGCCGGCACUGGCCACCGCUGACCCCAGCGUUAGGGGGCACCUUCCUACCCCGCAACACCCCCGCCCUCCAACCCCGUCCCCGUUCUGCUCGUUCCUUUUAGGCAUCCAUGUCAGAUGUCCCAGCUAAGAUGUGUCUGUGACGGCCUGUGUUCUCCCCUUCCUUGCUUCCCUCCCAUUCUCUUCCCCAGGAGCCUGGAGCUGACUCACCACCUGGCCCUCAUUGUGCUCCUGCAUUCCCCAGGACACCGGUGGUCACUGCACCCUGUAGUGGGGACUAGCCUGAGAGCCUUGCACCAGUCGCUGAGACUGAGCUCCUGGUGGGGGACAGACUCUACAGGAAGUCCAUCCUAAAGGAAAUCAGUCCUGAAUAUUCACUGGAAGGACUGAUACUGAGGCUGAAGCUUCAAUACUUUGGCCACCUGAUGCGAAGAACUGACUCGUUGGAAAAGACCCUGAUGCUGGAAGAGAUGCAGGCAGGAGAAGUGGGCAGCCGAGGAUGAGAUGGCUGGAUGGCAUCACCGACCUGAUAGAUGUGAGUUUGAACAGACUACCUGGGAUCAAAUCCUGGCCCCACAGUCCAGUAGCUGGAUGACCUUGGACAAGUUACUUAACCUCUGGGCCUCCAUCUCCUCUGCAGAAUGGCAUGGUGAUGGCACUUCAGUAUCGAGGGCUGAGAGGAGCCAAGCUGUAAGGGAUGUGUCUGCCACAUUCUAGGCAUGUUAUUAUCAUCACUUAUGUUCUCUGGAUGACCUCUCACCAUGAAGUUAUGUUUUCUGUGGUCAUCAAGAAUGUCCAUAUCUCUAAACUCCAGUUCUGAUUCCUCUUCACCUCUCCCCAGCACUUAACACUUGAAUAUGAACUUUUCCUCAAAAUGGCCUUUUCCUCUUGUCAAAGGCACAAAGAUAGCCGUGGGGCCCAGGCAGCGUCUGUCUGGUGCGUUCUGCCACAGCCAGUCUGCGGGGGGCCCUGGGGCCUGUGCUGUGAGGGUGCCAAGGUCAGCCUAUCUCCUGAGAGGGACUCUCCCUCAGUGGACUCUGUGCCCUCAUAAACUCUCAGCACCUGCUGAUAACAGCCCUGGAAAAGUGUUUGAUAACAGGAACCAAGGUUUCCGGGAAUCUUUGCCAGGAUGUGAGAUGUGGAAGGAGGGGUAUGAGGAGGAGAAGAAGGGGAGGAGAAGGGGAUGACAGAGGAUGAGAUGGUUGGAUGGCAUCACCGACUUGAUGGAUAUGAGUUUGAGCAAGCUCUGGGAGUUGGUGAUGGACAGCGAGGCCUGGCGUGCUGCAGUCCAUGGGGUUGCAAAGAGUCAGACACAACUGAGUGACUGAACUGAACAGAGGGAGGUUGGGUAUUGUCACCCUGCUUAUUUAACUUACUUGCAGAGCACAUCAUGAGAAAUGCCAGGCUGGAUGAGUUAUAAGCUGGAAUCAAGUUUGCUGGGAGAAAGACCAAUAACCUUAGAUAUGUGGAUGAUACCACUCUAAUGGCAGAAAGUGAAGAGGAACUAAAGAACCUCUUGAUGACAGUGAAGGAGGAGAGUGAAAAAGCUGGCUUAAAACUCAACAUUCAAAAAACUAAGAUCAUGGCAUCAGACCAGGCGUUACUCAUGGGGCCACUCCCAGCUGGAGGAAAUAUGGGCCACAUUUCCAGCCUAAAGUCCCAUCACCAAAGAUUGUUCUCCCAAGACCUGUGGUCUGACCACAGAAGUGCCCUGACCUUGAGAGUAUUCCAGGGACCAGCGUGGCUCAAGUCUAGCGAAUUUGCAUCAAAAUCCAGCAGCUGGUGGUGCUGGUGCUGCCGUUCCUGGCUCAGGAGAGGAUGGUUUCAGUUCAAGGUGCAGCAGACAAUUGGAUUUAGGUCUGAAGUCCCUACAGAUCCCAACAGAACCCUCCUGAAGCCUCACGGCUCAGGCUCACAGCCACAUCCAGAAUCAUCAGGGUGGUGCUGGGGGCCUCCAAACACAGUGUCCCUCUGGGCUUCAGCUCCUCUGAGGGCCCCAUCACAGCAGGAUUUUCCCUGAAAAGACCUUUGGAGCCUCUCCCUCUGCCUGAAGUCCGGUGCUCAGGGCAGUGGCUGAUGGUUCUGUCCCCCACCCGCCCCCCGUGUCCCCCACCCACUGUCCGCACGUAUCACUCCCUCUCUCCUCCCGCCCCCUGUGGUCCCCUAGCACUGUAACAGCCAUGUCAUUCCAGGGGUCACAGACGGACCAGAGGUGGUAGGCCCUGCCAGCUGCGGACCCAAGACCCAUGCUGCCCUUCUCCCGCAACCUCGUGAUUAGUUCAGUGUUGCCCUAUAAAGUCUGAUUGCCUGAGACAACCAUGGGACAGCGUCUCGGCCAACAAGAGGGAAGGGGAAACUGCCUGGUGAGCGACGGGGAGCCAAGUGCUGCUGGUGUGAGAGCAGGCGAGCUGGCCCAGCCUUCGGUCUUGCCCCCUCCCUGCCCCGUGUCCUGUGUGGCCGUGGGCACAGGGCCUGGAGGUCAGGAGUGAUGCUCUUGUGAGGAUGGAAACAGCUCUCUGAGAGCAGAGGACCAGGAGGAGCGAAGGAGCCUGGCUGGGGGAUGCCCAGCUCCUAGGCUGCCUCCUGAGCCCUUGCCGGGUGGAAAUCCCACCCCUGUGGGCCUCUGUCCCACGUGGCCACAGGCAGCGUUCUUGAUGCUCAGAGACCCAUCUCUGAGGCAGUUCCUGCUCAGACUCCUUUCUGACGCGUGUGUCCCUAGCAAGCCCUCCGCUGCUUUGUCCCCUGUAAAGAGCAGACCCAGCCUUGCACCCUGGUACAGUGCCUGGGAAUGCUCUCUUUUUUCCCCUCGAACAGAUGAGAGGCUCCUUCCCCCAGGAUCCUACUGGCCAAAUACUUCACCCUUGGGAACCUCAGCUAUGCAGAGAAGCCAAGGAGAGAGGCUUACAGGGGUCUUUAAAAUAAGGCAAAUGAGUAUUAUUCACCCUUCAGAAGGGAGGGAAUUCAUGGUACAGUGUGGAUAGACCUUGAGGACAUGAUGCUCAGUGGAAUAAACCAGUCACCAAACAGUGUAUCCUG